AUGGAGGACGGCGGCGCGAGAGCGGCGGCGGUGCAGAAGCUGAUGGCGGCCAAGGCCAAGUCCGGCAAGAGCUUCUCCGACAUCGGGGCCGAGACGGGGCUCACCAACGUGUACGUCGCGCAGCUGCUGCGCCGCCAGGCGCAGCUCAAGCCCGACACGGCGGCCGCGCUGCGGGCGGCCAUCCCGGCGCUCACCGAAGAGCUCGUGGAACUCAUGAUGCAGCCGCCCUUCCGCUCGUACAACCCUGAAAUGGUCCACGAGCCCGCCAUAUACAGACUGAAUGAAGCUAUCAUGCAUUUUGGAGAGAGCAUCAAGGCAAUCAUCAAUGAGGACUUUGGUGAUGGAAUCAUGUCAGCUAUAGACUUCUACUGUACCGUCGACAAAGUUAAAGGGGCUGAUGGAAAAGACCGUGUGGUGCUCACAUUUGAUGGGAAGUAUCUGCCUCACACUGAACAGAAAGCCGCGAAUAUGAUGUCGAAGUUGCCCUGCAAGGCACCUUGA
rnacentral:rRNA from 1 species